rnacentral:pre_miRNA from 1 species
CACGACGUUUCGGGCGGACGCCCUUCUUCAAGAUCUAACGAACAGAUUUGAAGAAGGGCGUCCGCCCGAAACGUCGU